rfam:Anaerosporobacter mobilis DSM 15930 genome assembly, contig: EJ17DRAFT_scaffold00002.2
UAGCAAAGCAACUAUAGUUCAUCUUAGUGUGUGGUGAAUAACCUAGGUCGGCGAGGCACGGAUGCCGAGCCAGCCUGAACAUGACAGGCGUCAUGUUGAAGGCGUGUCCGUAUCCUUUUUAAUCCUCCUCCCGCACACUUAGACCGAACUUAGUUGCGUAGCGU